AGUCAGCUAGGCGGCCGCGUAUAGUUUUACUAUCCGAGGAACGUCCGGACUCCAUAGGGAACAGUGGUGGGUAAUACCCACUCGGGGCAACCCGCAGGAAAGUGCCACAGAAAAUAUACCGCCUACAUGGUAAGGGUGAAAAGGUGAGGUAAGAGCUCACCGCAGGACUGGUGACAGGACUGGCAUGGUAAACCCCACUGGGAGCAAGACCAAGCAGUAUGCAUUGACGCUUCCCGCCGAGCAUACGGGUAGGUUGCUGGAGCCUUUUGGUAACAAAAGGUCUAGAUGGAUGGUCGCCCACGACAGAAUCCGGCGUAUCGGCUGGCUCGUC
rnacentral:RNase_P_RNA from 1 species